GGGUUCAGAGGUGGACAAGACUAUGGGAUAGCGCUACCCCCUAUUCCUCCUUGUUAACAAAAUCUCAUCUCAGUCCAGGGUGGCAAUGUACCCAGCUCCCAGGGAUGAAUCCUGACAGGUUAAAAAGUCACAAUUCUGUUUACUAUUCAUCUAGCCUAACAGCAGCAAGGGAUGGCUAAGUGACCUAGUACUGACCAAUGAAAUAUAAAAUGACAUCUGUUGGGGACUUUUGGGGGAUCUUUUGCUCUUCUGUUAAAAAAAAAAAAAAAAAAAGACAAGUACAACUUCUUUCCCCUUUCUUUCUUCUUCGAACAUAGGUAUGAUGCCUGGAGCUGCUGCAGCCAUCUCAUGCCCACAAAAUAAAGCCCAAGAGAACUGCCGGGAUACUGGGCCUGACUCUGCUGAGCUGCUGAACGACACCAGGCUGCCACCUACCACAAAUUUCUUGUCAUGUCAGCCACGGUGAUCGACACCAAGAAAGAUCACAACCAAGAAAAAUACUGGAAGAAAGGCCAUUCCUCUACUGGGUAACACCCAAGGCCUCGGCAGGCCAUACAGUGAACUUCUGACCACAAGGACUACUCAUUCACCAGCUUUUACAUUUCCUGCCUUUAAGUUUCAUUGGUCAGGAGAAGCCACAA